rnacentral:rRNA from 1 species
UACGGGGGGGGUAAGCGUUGUUCGGAAUUACUGGGCGUAAAGGGCGCGUAGGCGGCCACCGCAAGUCAGUUGUGAAAGCUCUGGGCUUAACCCAGAAAGGUCAGCUGAUACUGCGGGGCUAGAGUGCAGAAGGGGCAACUGGAAUUCUCGGUGUAGCGGUGAAAUGCGUAGAUAUCGAGAGGAACACCUGCGGCGAAGGCGGGUUGCUGGGCUGACACUGACGCUGACAGCGCGAAAGCUAGGGGAGCGAACGGG